GGGUUUGCAAUAGAAGGUUCAUAAUUUUAUUUCUCAACAUCCUCUCUCUACUGAAUAAGUCGAUAGUGAUGAGAUUCCAUAAUAACAGUCUAGUUCAUGUUCUUCUUUGGAUGAUCAACACUCAUGUUCCUCUUUGGUGUUCAUCGUUGCUUCUCGUCUUGUAGAAAGGACGUAUGGGGAUUGAUCAUCUCAAACAUGGUGCGAACUUUUGCAUAUAUCCUCUCUUACUUCUGUAAAGCACUCUCAGGCUUCAUUCACCACUACUGUGAUAUACAUAUCUUCCCUCUAGGAGGUUAGAUCACAAGCUAUCAGUGUUGAGUUUGAUCCUGCAAUAAUCUGUUCUAGGGACGUGGGUGAGCACAUGGCUUUCUGGGAUAUCUUAUCUCAUUUCUGUAUUUACAUUUUGACAUGACUUUUGCUUUUUUUAGACGAUCUUCUUUCUAAGGUCCACUUUUUGGACUUUUACUCUUUCAGUAACCAGCUUCUGUGAGGUAUCUUUUGUAUAUAGAGUUUUGGUUUCACUUCAACCUUCCUCUUAUGUCUUAUUUUCAUUGA